CAAGUCACCAAUCCAAAACUGUGGAGUGAGGAAGCCUGAUUCCAAGGCCCACUGGAGUUUUGUCUGAAUCAUAUCUCUUCACUUUAAUGGUUGAAGGAUUAUGGCUGGUUUAUGUUCAAGUUCAAUAAUUCUCCCACCGUCUUCAUUCUAUCAAGUCAUCCAGUGAAUUCUUACUCAGGCAAACCAUGAGUGGGAGGCAGAGGAUCCUGGCCCCUCCUCCUUCAGGCUGGACUGCUCUGUCCUCACGGCCAGCUGAUCUGAGGGUAUCUGUGGAAUUCAAGAGGGGGCAGCAAGCUCGGGGUUGGGAAGCCUCAGGAUCAAGUCCAAGCUCUGAGAUUCUGAGAGGUUGCUUUACCCAGAGGGGCCUCAGGUUCCCACUCUGUCUGAUG
ensembl:lncRNA